CGCCUCUCACCCUGACCCCUCGCUCUCGCGCGAUCCAGAGGGCGAGCGGCGGCGGCGGUGGCACGGCCCGGAGGCGACAGCGGCGGCUUCAACCGCGGCGGCCUACUGCCCGGUAAUUGUUAGAAUAGUGGGGAGCAGAUCUAGACCGGACAGCUCAUCCGAACUGUUUGGGUUGUUGGAUCUAGCCUUUGGCCUCUUGAAACUGUUGCGUCUCGCUGUAACCGAUAGGAAGGACGAAUAAAUUGCCACGGUGAAGAAAUCUCCCCGACCCCUAAUGCUGCAUCCUUCCAUUCUCUCCCACACACAACGCGCUUUGGCGCUCACUUUUCUUCAUGCCUGCAUUACCGGCGCUUCCGCCUCCAUGCCUCCACUCUCAGCCACCUCCGCCUAUGGACCUCCUCUCCCUGCCGCCGCCGCGCCUGUUUCCUCCCUACGGCAACGAUGUGUCAUGCCUCCGCCUCCCCCAUCUCCUCUGCACUGUGAGUGGUGCCGGCUCCUCCUCAGCCCCCAUCUUUGGGUGUCCAAGACGAGGGGCAAAAGGUCCAGUAGGUGGUGCCAUCUCCACCUCCACCCUCACCUCUUCAACGCUGCCUCCGCAUUUGUGACCGCUUUGGUGCACCAGAUGAGGACCAUGACGUCCAGAGGUGGAAACACAGCCCUGGGGAGGCACCCCUUCAGGUCUUAAUUCAUUACGUCAUGCCUCUGGAACUAUCGGGACUGAAGAGACUGUUCUUGGGUAGAACCUGCUGAGGCAGAGCUGCUACUAGACUUCUGGAAUAAGGAAAAAGCCACAAACAGUGGCGACUUUGAGAAUGAGGGGGCAAAUUCAGCUCAUGUGGCAUCAGAUUUAAUUUUCUCGUCCAAGAAAAGCAGGAUUCCGUUGAAAGAAGAACUUGAAGAUGGUAGUAUUCGUCGUCAAGGGAGGAGUGGAAGAGGCACUAUUUUGCAUGUUAAAGGGUGUUCAUCCAUACCAAAAGAGAAGUUGGACAGCACUGAAACAAGGAAGUUGGUAAAGAGUUAAGUUAGGCCGUCAAGAAAGGUUCGGACCGCAAAGCAUCAUCUCAGCACUCAGAAAUUCUGAAUUGUGGGUCAAUGGAUGCUACAGAUGACCGAGAAGAGCUUCUAGCUGCUGCAAAUGCUGCCCAUGGUGCCAUAGUUGGUGCGUAUGCUGGUCCUUUUUGGAAGAAAAUAUCACCCAUGCUUACUUUCAUCAGCUCUGAAGAUUUAUCCUUCUUAAAAAACCAGAUAAUAUUUUUGGAAGAGCUUGAGAUGGGCAUGUCUAAUAAGCACGAAGAAGAUAAGUUAACUGCAUCCACUAACUACAAUGGGCCACCAUCAAUGGCACUUCCCCUUCUGCCACUCCCCUACUCUUAUCGUGCAAGAUGUUUUCAGUUGAGCAUUCCUCCCCAGGUUCUACCUCCAUCCAAUUCUUCUUUGUUGCUGGAUCAAGGGGAAGCAAAUGGUGUUGGACCAAGAGAAUCUGUUGACAUUUUGUCUUAUAAUGGCAAGAAUCAUAACAACACAUCUCAAAAGGCACAGGGGCAAGGAAUAUUUGGUGAAAUGGCUCCCUUGACAAGUACACUGCUCUGUGCUUUGAUUGUAGAAGAUGUUGAUGACUUUCCCGAGUCCAAUGGUGUCCAAGGAGAUAUACUUCUGGAGUUCUCCAAUGACUACAUUCCUCGUGCUGCCGCAGUUGAGUUUGAAGCUAUGGGCUAGAAUCCAGUUUUGGGAUGUCCCCUGAUUUCAAGCAUUCAUACAGUAACCCAGCAUAUAACUGCAUGUCCAAUGGUUUCUCACUUUCCAGUAAUUUGAGGCGCUCAUAUAGUCAAAUUUCAGUUUGCAGUAAGAAUCUAUCAGAUGGGAUAAAUGUUAUGGGGUAUCCAGAAAACGGCUCUUUGCAUAGAUCAGUACCGCAGAUUACACAGCAGUAUCAAACUCCCGGAAAAGAUUUAUUUUUACCAAUAUAUGGAUAUUACUAUGCACAGAUGUCUUUGCAUGACAGGACUUUGGUCAAGUUGCACAGUAUUGACAUUUUUCCAGAGAUGCCAGAGCUGGACGAGGGAGAGGAUGAGGAUAUUAAUAAAGUUAUUUUUUGAGCCGCAGAAAAGACUCUUUGAUCAGGAAAUCUUCUAUAGACCUUGCUCAGCCUCCCUGGAGCUUAGGAGUGGGACGCUUUAGCUCUGGUUGCUCUCCUCUCACCCCCGAUUCAUGCAUCAGGGCAGAAGCAGCACUGGAGGUGGCUGGCGGUGGCAGGGAGACCCCGGAGUUGAGGAGGCCAGAAGGGCUCAUGUGGCUGUCAACGCCCAUCAUCUCCAUGUCACACUAAAGGGUGAAGAAUGUGAGCAUCCAGAGUAUAUCAUUCGCGGGCCACCCCCUGCUAUCCAGUACUGCGGAGAGCUUGAAAAAUACUGUCACUGGGGCAAUGAAGUUAAGCUCUAUCAGCACCAUGUGAACACCUUGUUUGCCAUGUUCCGCCGCAAAAAGGCAGACAUCAAAUACUAUGUGUGCACCAUCAACAAAACAUUUUCAAAGCCAGGCCAGCGCGUGUAUUUUCAGGUUUACUACACUGAAAAAACCUGAAGGAUUACAUUGACCCAGAUGAUGAUACACUCAAGGUGAAACUUGCAAACAGUGAACUGCACGCCAAAUGUCGCAUCAUGCUAGGAACCGACAAGAGAGCCACCAUAACCACCAACUGGUCAGAAUUCCGCUACCUUGCAAACAUCCAUUAAGGAAACAUCUGCGUCUUUCGCUUCAAGCAGGACAUUAGAGGAGCAUGCGACACACCUCAAGAUCACAUUGGAAAUCCUACAAUCAGUUAAGCUGCCCAAAUGCAUCUUUGCAACAGACAAGGUGAAUACCUGGGCCAUGUGAUCACAGGUGCUGGUGUGACUACCAACCCCAAAACAAUGAAGGACAUUGUUGAAUGGCCCAUCCCUACUACAAUCUCUAAACUAAGAGGAAUCCUGGGUAUUACUGGAUACUACAGGAGAUUCAUCAAAGAUUAUGCUAAGAUAUGCAGGCCACUCCAUGUUCUACUUAAGAAAGACGCCUUCCAAUGGACCCAAGAACACACGGCUGUAUUUGAAGUACUCAAAACAAAACUGACCCCCUGCCCUGUAUUAACUCUGCCUGACUUUAGUAGGCCUUUUGUCCUGGAGACUGAUGUAUGUGGGACAGGUUUGGGAGCAGUUUUUAUGGAAAGUGGUAAGAGCAUC